GAUGAAGAACGCAGCGAAAUGCGAUAAGUAAUGCGAAUUGCAGAUUUCAGUGAGUCAUCGAAUCUUUGAACGCACAUUGCGCCCGCCAGUAUUCUGGCGGGCAUGCCUGUUCGAGCGUCAUUUCAACCAUCAAGCCCCCGGGCUUGCGUUGGGGCCCUGCGGCUGCCGCAGGCCCCGAAAAGCAGUGGCGGGCUCGCUGUCACACCGAGCGCAGUAGUUUACUCUUCGCUCAGGGCGUGUGGCGGGUGCUAGCCGUGAAACCCCCAACUUCUCAAGGUUGACCUCGGAUCAGGUAGGAAUACCCGCUGAACUUAAGCAUAUCAAUAAGCGGAGGA
rnacentral:misc_RNA from 1 species